rnacentral:lncRNA from 1 species
CUGACAAUGGAAAGAUAAGCUUUUGCAUACGUCUGGAAAAGAAUAUCCUUAAAAUCGGAAUGGGCAAGACAUCCUGAAAUUUAGCAUUGUCUUACAUCCUAUAGAAGAAAUACCUUAGUCUGUCACAGUCAGCAUAUGAUUGUCGUAUAUUGACUUUAAGUAUUCAAUAUCCCUUCAGUCAGCAAUAAUCAUGUUAUAAACCUUAUAAAAGCAUAAAAUACAUAUAAACAAGUUAACUAUUUAAUAUUCUUACAUUCCCCUCUUUGAGCAAUAAAACAAUUGCUCAUCUUAUCGAUAAAAUCUUACCAGGACAGAGAAACUUCCACAUGGUAUUUUCAGGGGUGCUAGUCACUCCCUGCGGGACUUUCAUUAAUUUCUUCACCUCGAUUCCCAUGUGGUAAUUCCUAAGGCUCAGUUUAAAGAUGGGUUGAUACUCUACAGUGGCAGAGAGGAGAAUUUUUAAUUGUUUCUGUUCUGCAUUAUGGAUUCAUUUCUGUACUCACUUCCUCAAUGUACAAGUAAGGUGACAGUUAUAUAAAAUCAUACACAAUAAAAUCAGGACUAUAAUAACAAAAGGAUAGAAGAAUGAUUUCAUUAUCUGGGAUCCAGUAGGGGACCAACCAGUAAAGCAUUGUACCAAUGAUGGGCUGAAUCAUUCUGAAUUUGUGAACUCACCUUAAGGAGUUCUCCUUUUAGGAUAUGUGUGGCUACCUGUGUGUGUUAUCUUUGGGAAAAAUAUAGUCCCCUGUGUAUGUGGGUGCCCACCAGGUUAAAUUCUUGGCAAAAAGAUCAUAAACUGGUACUGGUAAUGUGUUAAAUUGACAAGCUAAUUUAACAUCCUUUGAUGAUGUAUGAUAUAAUGUAAAAUAGCAUGAGCAUGAAAAAUGUGAAACAUUACCAGUUAACCAUCCAUUGCAUUUACUGGAUUGGGGUUUUAGAAGUAACCAUUCAUUAUCUGUGAGGUUACGCUUUCCUCUAAUCUUCUCUAGUUGAGGAAUCAUUAGUGUGUUUUCUAAUGCCAAUCCUUGUUGUUGUAUCCAUAAAUACCUGAUGGCACAAGUACUCCAGUUACUUAGACCUGUAGUGAAUUUCAUAGUUGCAACAGUUAAAUUAUCUAAAUAAUUAUACAUUGAUUUAUCUAAAUCCAAUCCUCUAACCUGUGAUUUAACAACUAUUGGAGCCCAAUUUGCAGUAGCAUGAAAACCAGUCCCUAUAUGCAUGCUGGCUGUGUUUAACUUAUUCUUGAGGGUCUCCAUAUCUAUAACUAUUUAGUAUACCCAUAGUGGUUCCAGCACCUCCUAACAGUGUGUCAUACCAUUCCCUUUUCUGCCUUUGUUUGUUGUAUUACAUAAUGUUACAACAAGAGUAGUGACUUUUAAUGACACAUGUACAGCUUGUAAGAAGGCAGUUGUAUUAACACAUGUGGACGGAAUAGGUGUGUCUGUGUCGUGUUUGACUUUUGGUUCUAUGGUAGAGGAUAAAGGACAGUAAGGUGUAAAAAUAUAAGGUAGUGUAUAGUUCUCAAUUGCAGUGUCGUUCAUAAUGACUAACAUUUGUCCCCUUCUCCGAUUAAUGAUACCAGUUAUAUAAUCAUUAUUAAAAGUAAUAAGGCCUGUCUAUUUACAUUGAUAUGCAACCUUAACUGUGCACAUUUCUGCCUUAUAAGAUCUAACAAUUUUCUGUGAACCUUCAAACAAACAUAAUGCAUCGGCUUCAUUAGCUGUAGACACAUUUCAUAUGGGUAACUGGUACUUAUAAGGGUUACUAUUUGUCCAAUUCAUCCAAAUGCGUUCAUUGAAUGAAUGAUUGCAUAUUGCAUGCUGAUAGAAAGGUGGUGGAGAAAGGUUCUUGAGGGGGCGUGUGUGACGAAUGCUAGAUGAGGGGCUAAGGCCUAAUUGGGCUGGGGGUAUUGAAGAAUUGUUCAUCAUGUCAGAGUCUUUUUCCAGAACUUGCCAUUGAC